rnacentral:rRNA from 1 species
AGUCGAACGGGGCUCAGAGAACAGAGGACUUGUCCAAAGUUUUCGAAAGCCUAGUGGCGGACGGGUGAGUAACACGUGAGCAACCUGCCUUGGACUGGGGAAUAACUGUGGGAAACCAUAGCCAAUACCGCAUAAAGUCACGAGAGGACAUCCUCCUGUGACCAAAGGAGCAAUCCGGUCUUAGAUGGGCUCGCGUCCGAUUAGAUAGUUGGUGAGGUAACGGCUCACCAAGUCUGCGAUCGGUAGCCGGACUGAGAGGUUGAACGGCCACAUUGGGACUGAGACACGGCCCAGACUCCUACGGGAGGCAGCAGUGGGGAAUAUUGGGCAAUGGGCGAAAGCCUGAUCCAGCAAUGCCGCGUGAAGGACGAAGGUCUUCGGAUUGUAAACUU